AGUGCAAUCUUCGGUUGCCUGGACUAGCGCUCCGGUUUUUCUGUGCUGAACCUCAGGGGACGCCGACACACGUACACGUCCCUUCGAUAGCUCAGCUGGUAGAGCGGAGGACUGUAGCUACUUCCUCAGCAGGAGACAUCCUUAGGUCGCUGGUUCGAUUCCGGCUCGAAGGAGACAAGUGCGGUUUUUUUCUCCAGCUCCCGAUGACUUAUGGCACUUUCCUUGGGUGCCUUCAGUGACACAUUGCAUUCCAACGAGCAGUUUGAAAGUCUAGCGCUUUCUCCCCAUUUUGGGCCUCCCAGCCUGCACGGGACUCAUCUGAGGCUAAGCUGCCCAUAGUUCGGGGAGACCCACAGGGAAAACAAAACAAGAAACAGAGAACUUGGAAACGGACGCUGAUUACUUUGAACGUUUGCUCAACCGAGGAAGCAGGAACUGUUCGGCCCCAUCUCAAGUCCGCAGGGCGGACUGCCUGGCUCUGGGCAGAUCCGAGGUGGAUAGGACAAGGCAAAAGGUAGCCCUGGAGAGGUGAGUGGAUAAAGUCCCUGGACACAGGGGCUGCCGUUGGAGGAGGUUGUAAUGUCAUUGUCCUCCUGUGGAAGUUAACUGUGGAGAAUUAACUAGAGACCAGCGCUGAGAGAGAAUUAAUUGGAUAAAAGUUCUAUCUAGGACAGUCCUUGAGCGUAAUUUUGUGAAGCAAACACAAGACAACAACAAAACGAGUAAAACCUAAACACACAUCCACACACUCACUGAAAGAUUCAGAGAUUGCACAGAACACAAAGACUUUUCUGGUAAUAAAAUCUCCCUAUCCUAAUUUUCUAGAAAAAAAGCUGUUGAAGCCACCGCGCAGUUCUUACAAGACAUAACACAAAUCUUCCACACAAAGGCAGAAAUACAGUAUCAACCUUUGUGAGGAGUACAGCAA
rnacentral:lncRNA from 1 species